rnacentral:rRNA from 1 species
UCGACGUAGUUUGAUCAGUGGCUCGAGGAUGAACGCUGGCGGCGUGCUUAAUACAUGCAAGUCGAACGGAGACUGUAGCAAUACUGUCUUAGUGGCGAACGGGUGAGUAACGCGUUGGUGACCUGCCCCGAAGAGGGGGAUAACAGUCCGAAAGGAUUGCUAAUACCCCAUGUGGUCAUUUGGAUUAGAUGCCUUAUGACUAAACGGAUUUAUUCGCUUCGGGAGGGGCCUGCGUCCCAUCAGCUAGUUGGUAAGGUAAUGGCUUACCAAGGCGAUGACGGGUAGGGGACCUGAGAGGGUGGCCCCCCACAAUGGAACUGAAACACGGUCCAUACACCUACGGGUGGCAGCAGUAGGGAAUAUUGGUAAUCUGGGAAACCGGGAACCAGCAACGCCGCGUGCGCGAUGAAGGCCUUCGGGUUGUAAAGCGCUUUUUAAAGGGAUGAGGAAGGACAGUACCUUUAGAAUAAGCCUCGGCUAACUACGUG